rnacentral:rRNA from 1 species
CCUACGGGUGGCAGCAGUCGAGAAUCAUUCACAAUGGGGGAAACCCUGAUGGUGCGAAGCCGCGUGGGGGAAUGAAGGUCUUCGGAUUGUAAACCCCUGUCAUGUGGGAGCAAAUUAAAAAGAUAGUACCACAAGAGGAAGACACGGCAAACUCUGUGCCAGCAGCCGCGGUAAUACCGCGGUCUCAAGCGUUGUUCGGAAUCACUGGGCGUAAAGCGUGCGGUGGCUGUUUCGUAAGUCGUGUGUGAAAGGCGCGGGCUCAACCCGCGGAGGGCAGAUGAUACUGGGAGACUAGAGUAAGGGAGGGGGAAGCGGAAUGCUCGGUGUAGCAGUGAAAUGCGUAGAUAUCGAGAGGAACACUCGUGGCGAAGGCGGGUUCCUGGACAUUAACUGACGCUGAGGCACGAAGGCCAGGGGAGCGAAAGGGAUUAGAUACCCUAGUAGUC